GGGGCAGUAGUAUAGCUUGGUCUAGUAUUCUGGCUUCGGGAGUCAGCGACGGGGGUUCAAAUCCCCCCCGCCCCA
rnacentral:tRNA from 1 species